UUCAUUCUCUCAAACUCACCAUCUCUCAAACCCAUUUCUCUUCUUCAUUUUUCUUCUUCAUUCUCUCAAACUCACCAUCUCUCAAACCCAUUUUCAUUUCUCUUCUUCAUUUCUCUUCAACUCUUCUUCCCCAAUCUCUUCCCCAAUUUAAUUUCAAUUGCAAGGUAUUAUUUGUGUUUGAAGGAGCUUCCAAGGGAACAUUAGAAGAAAUAAUAGAGGAAGAUAGAGUAUGGAAUAUUAUUUGUACUAUCGUAGUUGGAUGUACGAUAGAUUGUAUCCAGGAAGAAGUGGACUUAAACCCAAUUUUAUAGAAGGAGUUAAUGGGUUUAUAAAGUGGGCGUUUGUUCAGGAAUGUUGUCGAAGCGAAGGGGGAGUUAGGUGCCCUUGUCUUAAAUGUGACUGUAGAUGUAUAAUUAGUGACCCAGAGGAAGUACAACGUCAUUUGUAUAGAAGAGGUUUCAUUGAAAAUUAUUGGGUUUGGACGUCUAAUGGUGAACAACUGCCGAUGAAUGUGCCAGAGACUAGCAAUACGCAUGCUUCAAGCAGUCGUCCGACUAUGGAAUACGAGGAAAAUUUUAAUUUGAUUGGUGACAUG